rnacentral:pre_miRNA from 1 species
UGUUAAAAAUUCUAUCCAGUGUAUAGUUAAAAACUGACAUAAUUAAUAGAAUAAUCAGAUAGUAAUACGUAAUGUGUCAAGUAUAUCUCAUGAUGAUAUAAAUGGAUAAAAUCUUAAUAAUAGAAAUAAGUGAAUUUUUAACA